UAUAAAGUGGCGAACGGCUGAGUAACACGUGGGCAACCUGCCCUUUGCACUGGGAUAGCCUCGGGAAACCGAGGUUAAUACCGGAUACUCCAUAUUUGUCGCAUGGCGAAUAUGGGAAAGCUCCGGCGGCAAAGGAUGGGCCCGCGGCCUGUUAGCUAGUUGGUGGGGUAGUGGCCUACCAAGGCAAUGAUGGGUAGCCGGGUUGAGAGACCGACCGGCCAGAUUGGGACUGAGACACGGCCCAGACUCCUACGGGAGGCAGCAGAC
rnacentral:rRNA from 1 species